UCACACAGGUGCUGCAUGGCUGUCGUCAGUUCGUGCCGUGAGGUGUUUGGUUAGGUCCACCAACGAACGCAACCCCUGCGUCCAUUUGCCAACGGGUCAUGCCGGGAACUAUGGACGGACCGCCCUUCAAACGGGGAGGAAGGUGGGGAUGACGUCAAGUCAGUAUGGCCCUUACGCCUAGGGCUGCACACGUGCUACAAUGGCCGGUACAGAAGGAUGCGAGACCGCGAGGUGGAGCAAACCCUAAACCGGCCCAGUUCAGAUUGGAGUCUGCAACCCGACUCCAUGAAGUUGGAUUCGCUAGUAACGGCGCAUCAGCAUUCGGCGCCGUGAAUACGUUCCCGGGCCUU
rnacentral:rRNA from 1 species